UCAUUUAGAGGAAGUAAAAGUCGUAACAAGGUCUCCGUAGGUGAACCUGCGGAGGGAUCAUU
rnacentral:rRNA from 1 species